rnacentral:ncRNA from 1 species
GAUUGUCCUCGGCUCGGGCUAAGGAGUGUCCACAUGAGUUCGUUGAGGUGUCUACACAGGUUCGAAGACGUUGGGUUAAGUACCCGCAACGAGCGCAACCCUCGUGUUUAGUUGCCAAGAUUGAGUUUGGAACCCUGAACAGACUGCCGGUGAUAAGCCGGAGGAAGGUGAGGAUGACGUCAAGUCAUC